CUACUACUCCCUCCGUUCGGAAUUACUUGUCUCGAAAAUGGAUGUAUCUAGACGUAUUUUAGUUCUAGAUACAUCCAUUUCCGAGACAAGUAAUUUCGAACGGAGGGAGUACCUC
rnacentral:pre_miRNA from 1 species